CCUACGGGAGGCAGCAGUGGGGAAUUUUGGAUAAUGGGCGAAAGCCUGAUCCAGCAAUGCCGCGUGAGUGAAGAAGGCCUUCGGGUUGUAAAGCUCUUUUGUCAGGGAAGAAACGGUGAGGGCUAAUAUCCUUUGCUAAUGACGGUACCUGAAGAAUAAGCACCGGCUAACUACGUGCCAGCAGCCGCGGUAAUACGUAGGGUGCAAGCGUUAAUCGGAAUUACUGGGCGUAAAGCGUGCGCAGGCGGUUUUGUAAGUCUGAUGUGAAAUCCCCGGGCUCAACCUGGGAAUUGCAUUGGAGACUGCAAGGCUAGAAUCUGGCAGAGGGGGGUAGAAUUCCACGUGUAGCAGUGAAAUGCGUAGAUAUGUGGAGGAACACCGAUGGCGAAGGCAGCCCCCUGGGUCAAGAUUGACGCUCAUGCACGAAAGCGUGGGGAGCAAACAGGAUUAGAUACCCUGGUAGUCCACGCCCUAAACGAUGUCUACUAGUUGUCGGGUCUUAAUUGACUUGGUAACGCAGCUAACGCGUGAAGUAGACCGCCUGGGGAUACGGUGCAAGNUUAAAACNCGAAAGAUGACGNNGAGAGNGCGACGACGACGACGAGGGAGGAGG
rnacentral:rRNA from 1 species